rnacentral:misc_RNA from 1 species
ACUUAGGCAUUUUUAUUUUUCAUUUUGAAAUAAGAAAAAUAUUACACAAAUGAAGGGAUGGAAGAAAUGGAAAGUGCUUUGCCAUACUUAAAUGUAGUGCAACAACCUUUAAUCUUUCGUUUGGUUUCACAGCAGCAACAUGUAACUGAAUUUAGAGUUGAACAAAAAAUCAGUUUUCACUCUCUGCUGAAUGUGUUAGAGGACUUUAUGAAAGCAUGUGGUGAAGCCAAACCAAAUUCAUUUGAGUAUGAAGAUGAAGAUGGAGAUCGAAUAACUGUUCGCUCUGAUGAAGAGUUAAAUGCUAUGAUUGAUUGGAACCAACACUGUUAUAACCAUAUGUGUAAUAGUACAAAUGGACUUUAUUAUAUGACUAUAUAUCCAAAAGUGGGUAAAACAGCAACUCGAAGAAAUACUUUGGGUCUUACAGUUGAUGUCAAUACACCAUUGCAUACCAACACAAAUUAUUCAAAAACUGCUUCACACAGCAGCCGAAAAUGUUCUGAAGGAGUUGAAACAAUUCUCAGUUGUGAAAAUAUAUUACAGGAAGAUCUUCAAUUCCUACAUGUCAUUGGUCAUGGAAAUGGAGGCACUGUUCACAAAGCAUUUCACACUGCAUUGAAAAAAACCUUAGCUGUGAAGGUUAUAUCAUUGGAUAUUACUUUGGAAGUUCAACGCCAGAUUCUUUCAGAAAUGGAUAUUCUUUUUCAAUGCAACUCACCUUACAUUAUUUCUUUCUAUGGGGCUUUUUUUACAGAAAACAAAAUUUCAAUGUGUACAGAAUACAUGGAUAGGAGUUCUUUAGAUAACUAUGGACAAAUACCUUCACAUGUUUUGGCAGGCAUUGUUGUAAUGAUUGUGAAGGGGCUACAAUAUCUUUUGAGUCUGAAGAUAAUGCACAGAGAUGUAAAACCCAGUAAUAUUUUAGUAAAUUCAAAAGGUCAAGUGAAAUUAUGUGACUUUGGUGUCAGUAUACAAUUGGUUAAUUCUAUUGCAAAAACAUAUGUUGGUACAAAUGCAUACAUGGCACCAGAAAGAAUUAUGGGUGAUGAAUAUGGAAUACAUUCAGAUGUGUGGAGUUUAGGCCUGUCUCUUAUUGAGAUGUCUACUGGAAUGUUUCCAUACCCAUUGACUGAUUCACAGCACUGCAUAGUACCAGUGACCUAUUGAGUUGCUUCAGUAUAUUGUUAAUGAGCAACCCCCGAGUCUUUCCACUGAACUAUUUGAUGACACUCUCAGGGAAUUUGUGGAGAGUUGUCUGAAAAAAAACCCUAAAGAACGGCCAACUCCUUUGGAACUUUCU